rnacentral:rRNA from 1 species
UACAGAGGGUGCAAACGUUGCUCGGAAUCAUUGGGCGUAAAGCGCACGUAGGCGGUCCGACAAGUGGGGAGUGAAAGCCCUCGGCUUAACCGAGGAAGUGCUUUCCAAACUGCCGGACUUGAGUACGCAAGAGGAUCGCGGAAUUCCUGGUGUAGCGGUGGAAUGCGCAGAUAUCAGGAGGAACACCAAUGGCGAAGGCAGAUCUCUGGGCCGUAACUGACGCUGAGGAGCGAAAGCAUGGGGAGCGAACAGG